AUUAUUUGACCUUCAAUUUUCGACAAACCCAACAGAGCACUAAGUCAUGGCUUUGACGGUGGGUCCUUUCGUGGAAAAUGGAAGAACUUACAGAAUGUUGUCAUCUCCAGCAGUCUGCGGUUUGGCUUUGGUGGUACACACUGUAUACGCACUGCUUCUUUCGCAUAUUUGGACAGUUCUGGUCAGUUUCUUUACUGCUGUUGCUUUGAUGAGUGCCCUUUACAUCAAGAGAAGGAAGUCUCCAGUUAAUCUUUUGGUUUUUUCGGGAUUUAACAUUCGUUAGUUUUUCCAUAUUCAUCGUAGGAGGAUUGUUCCAAACCUUUUCUCGUUCAACAAAGUGGGAUCUUCCAAUAUCAUCAGGAGGAGCUUUAGUGUUUGGUGUCUUGGGCAUAGCAGACACCCAACGGUCUCUGCAAGCAUCGACUUCGGAGGAGUACGUCAUGUCCACGAUAAAUCUUUAUUUUGACGUAAUCAAUUUAUUAGUGUAUAUUUUACGGAUAUUAUAUGUAACGGUUUGAAUAAAUCACCUAUUUGAAACCUC